UACAGAGGGUGCGAGCGUUAAUCGGAAUUACUGGGCGUAAAGCGUGCGCAGGCGGCUUUGCAAGACAGAUGUGAAAUCCCCAGGCUCAACUUGGGAACUGCGUCUGAUACUGGAUGGCUUGAAUUCGGGAGAGGGAUGCAGAAUUCCUGGUGUAGCGGUGAAAUGCGUAGAGAUCCGGAGGAAGACCGGUGGCGAAGGCGGCCUGCUGGGCAGUUACUGACACUGAGGAGCGAAAGCGUGGGAGCGAACAGG
rnacentral:rRNA from 1 species